CUUAAAGUCACAUACUGUAGUUAUUCAAAGGCAUCUUGGUAAAAAUCUUGAAAGAUCUGUCCGACCGCGACAACUCAGCAAGACCCUAUCUCAAAAAUUUAAAAAGGAAUAGAGACAUAGUUCUCAUAGAGCACUCUCAAUUCCCAUCUCCUGAGUGAAAGCUGUGUAGAAUUUUUCUCAAAAGCAAUGAAACUGAAUUUAAGGAGUCCCAAUUCUUGAUCAACGUGUAAUACUUCCAUGGCAAAGCAGACUCCACUGUAAGGCAGAGCUCAAGACAAAAGGGUGGGAGGAGCUUCCGGCAAACAAGGGAGAGACUUGCUUUUGUUAGCAAAGAUGCAGGUUUAUAUUAGGCUCACACAAGGAAGUGGGGAGCACAGGAAGCACCUCAGCAGCCAUACAAGCCUCACAGCGGAAAAAUGUGGUUCACAACUGCUCAAGAUGAAAAGAGGUCUGACAGUGCCCUUGCUAUUGAAUCAAGGAAAAGAAAAGAUGCUGGGGAUGAAACAAAGGACUCACACAAGCUAGGCAAGCACUCUACCAAUGUUAACUUCUAUUACUGAAAAGUCAGAAUAUUCAUAAAUACACG